AACAUAAGGCAACUAGGGAUACAAGCAUCACAGAGUCACCACGUGACAGUAGGGCAAGGGGAACUUGGCUUCAAAAUCUAAGAAGAUAUAUUUAGAUGAGAUAUUAGGAAGAAAUUUUUCCUUGUGAGGAUGAUGAGGUUCUGGCACAGGCUGUCCAGAGAAGUUGUGGCUGUCCCAUCCCUGGAAGUGUCCAAGGCCAGGUUGGAUGGGGCCUGGAGGAAUCUGAUCUGGUGGAAGGAGUCCCUGGCCAUGGAGGGUUGGAACUCCUCAGUCUCUGAGGUCCCUUCCAACCAUUCUAGGGUUCCAUGGAAUGCUGCACACUCACAGCUCCAACUUGGUGCUUUGCAUCUUGGCAUUUCAGAGGCAUGGAGGAAAUCAUCCCAAGCAAUUCAUUCAGAUAUCUCCUAUUGA
rnacentral:lncRNA from 1 species